rnacentral:lncRNA from 1 species
GUCUUUUCGAGGUAGGAGUCGACUCCUGUGAGGUAUGGUGCUGGGUGCAGAUGCAGUGUGGCUCUGGAUAGCACCUUAUGGACAGUUGUGUCCCCAAGGAAGGAUGAGAAUAGCUACUGAAGUCCUAAAGAGCAAGCCUAACUCAAGCCAUUGGCACACAGGCAUUAGACAGAAAGCUGGAAGUUGAAAUGGUGGAGUCCAACUUGCCUGGACCAGCUUAAUGGUUCUGCUCCUGGUAACGUUUUUAUCCAUGGAUGACUUGCUUGGGUAAGGACAUGAAGACAGUUCCUGUCAUACCUUUUAAAGGUAUGGAGAGUCGGCUUGACUACACUGUGUGGAGCAAGUUUUAAAGAAGCAAAGGACUCAGAAUUCAUGAUUGAAGAAAUGCAGGCAGACCUGUUAUCCUAAACUAGGUGAGUCAGCUUUUGGUACAUGUGAUGAUUUUCAGUGUAACCAAUGAUGUAAUGAUUCUGCCAAAUGAAAUAUAAUGAUAUCACUGUAAAACCGUUCCAUUUUGAUUCUGAGGUUACUCUACUAACAAGCAUCACACAUUUGUAUUUUGCCCUGAUUAAUAUGUUGGCUUCGCUUUCAGGGUUUUUAAUGACCACAACAAGCAAGCAUGCAGCUUACUGCUUGAAAGGGUCUUGCCUCACCCAAGCUAGAGUGCAGUGGCCUUUGAAGCUUACUACAGCCUCAAACUUCUGGGCUCAAGUGAUCCUCAGCCUCCCAGUGGUCUUUGUAGACUGCCUGAUGGAGUCUCAUGGCACAAGAAGAUUAAAACAGUGUCUCCAAUUUUAAUAAAUUUUUGCAAUCCAUCUGGA